CUUCGGGUUGUAAAGCUCUUCUCGUCGAGAAGAAAAGAUUACUGAUAAUACCAGUAAUCCAUGACGGUAUCGACAGAAGAAGCACCGGCUAACUACGUGCCAGCAGCCGCGGUAAUACGUAGGGUGCGAGCGUUAAUCGGAAUUACUGGGCGUAAAGGGUGCGCAGGCGGUUAUGUAAGUCAGAUGUGAAAUCCCCGGGCUUAACCUGGGAACUGCGUUUGAAACUACAGGACUAGAGUGUGGCAGAGGGGGGUGGAAUUCCAUGUGUAGCAGUGAAAUGCGUAGAGAUAUGGAAGAACAUCGAUGGCGAAGGCAGCCCCCUGGGUUAACACUGACGCUCAUGCACGAAAGCGUGGGGGGCAAACAGGAUUAGAUACCCUGGUAGUCCACGCCCUAAACUAUGUCAACUAGUUGUCGGGUCUUAUUAGACUUGGUAACGUAGCUAACGCGUGAAGUUGACCGCCUGGGGAGUACGGUCGCAAGAUUAAAACUCAAAGGAAUUGACGGGGACCCGCACAAGCGGUGGAUUAUGUGGAUUAAUUCGAUGCAACGCGAAAAACCUUACCUACCCUUGACAUGUCAGAAAGUUUUCAGAGAUGAAUUCGUGCUCGAAAGAGAAUCUGAACACAGGUGCUGCAUGGCUGUCGUCAGCUCGUGUCGUGAGAUGUUGGGUUAAGUCCCGCAACGAGCGCAACCCUUGUCAUUAAUUGCCAUCAUUUAGUUGGGCACUUUAAUGAGACUGCCGGUGAUAAACCGGAGAAAGGUGGGGAUGACGUCAAGUCCUCAUGGCCCUUAUGGGUAGGGCUUCACACGUAAUACAAUGGCGCGUACAGAGGGUUGCCAACCCGCGAGGGGGGAGCUAUCUCAGAAAGCGCGUC
rnacentral:rRNA from 1 species